CACUCUGUGGUAACCUGGAUGUCCCCCGUGCCCUGUGUCCUGGGAUGCUGGGUUCCUGCCCCGCCCACAGGCUUAAGGGGCAAGGACACAAUGAGCACAGGAGACACGAUCAGCUCAACCGUCAUCAUUUAUAUCUCCAAUUUGACCAUCAUAACACCACACACUGUACCAAUUGAGUAGCAGGCUUUUUUUUUUUUCAUUAUUAUUCACUUCUUUUUUGCCCUUGAACUGUUUCCUCUACUGUAAAUAAAAAAAUCGACUUUGUAUUAGACCAGUGCCCUCCCCCGGACACACUCAUUGUCCUGGGCGACUUCAAUGUAACCGCUGGCGCUGACAAGGUUGUCUACGAGCUGUGUGAUGGUCCCUAUGGCUCUGGUACCAGGAACACCAACAGCUCUCACCUCCUGAAUUUUGCAAGAUCCAGAAGGUUGAGAACAUGGAGGUAGGAUUAGGAGGAGACGGCGCGAGCUGGGUGAGGUGUCCCAGGAAAGUGAAGCCAGUUUGCCUGCGCUGGCCAACGCCCAGGACUGGCAGGAUGGCCGCGCCAACCCUUAGUAUCAGUAGCUUUAUUAAAUGUUUUUAUCAAUUGUUUCACUAUCUGUUAAGGUACUACAACUUUUUUCUUGCUUUUAGACCAAGACAUUUUUAUUAUUAUUUCAAGUACUUUUCAAAUUAAUAUUUAAUUGUAUUAAAACAAGUACUCAUGCGCGAAAAUGAGUAUUUUCAGUGCAAUGAGCUACAUACUAGAGAUACAAAUAUACGUACAUGCAUUAACGACCAUUUUUCACGUAACCUAAACCCUGAUUUUAUAUCUUGUGGAUAAUAAAUGUUCAUAGCACAACUAAUAACACCUGAUUUAUUAGUUAAUUGUAAAGUAUAUAAUUAUAAGUACACUAUUAUAAAAUCAUCCAUCCUAAAUUUAACAAGAGAAAUUGAAAGUAGGUUUGGUUUGUAUUUAUUGGCCACUGAAAUGAAUAAGUUUGGUGACGGCUCCUUACCUUAAUAUUACUUGCUGAUUUAUUAGUUAUCUGUGUAGCAUCAUACUUAAGCCGUACCUGCAAAUAUGUCUCAGCAACUGCCUUAACUAACAGACGCAGGUGGUUUUCCUGAGGGUCUGUGUCAUGCAUGUGAUUAGUUAUGGUGGGGAAUAUGUUUUUUUGGUUGCAAUAAGCCAGCACUGAAAUAACUAACUUACUAACAGCCCCCUGCCCUAAAUUGUUGCUUGACACUCUUUCUCUGAACAGUUUUUCUGAAGUGUUACAAAUAUCAAUAACACCAUCAGAAGGAUAUACCAAGUUUCCUCUAUCCUUUACUUUAACUAGUGAGUGAAGGAUCAACUUUCACUUGUCGCAUAUAACUAAGAUUUUAUAAUAAGUGUUAAGGAAUACCUAUAUUGACAACGGAAGUUUAUUUUUUUAUCUAUAUUCACCAUUGCUAAGACAACUACUUUUAAGAAUAUUUCAUUCCAUAAUACCUAAUAAGAAGCUAUAACACCACACUCAGUAGGCUGAAGUCUGUAGUUUAAUAAUGAAAUCUUACUCCAUUUAUCAGUUACUGCGUAGUUUAUCUUCACCUCAGUUUAGUUUUAGAUUACACCUAAUAUUACUUAGUUGUGAAAUGUAAGUGUAGGGUAUUUUUCCUUAUCAAACCUCGCGCUGCAGCCGUGUUCAGCACAGGACACUGGCAUCGUGAGCAGCCCGUGAGGCACGUCCACACACAGUCCAUUGACUUUGACAAAUGACUGAAUGCAGUGAUUCAUAUCUAUAGUGAGGUCUAGGUAGAGCGCAGUCAGAUCAAAGCUAAGCCUAGGUGAGGCUGGGAGCGGCCGACACUUGCUUCUUGCCAGUCCCAAGAUGGCGGACUCUACUUCACUUUUUCCCACUGCGCGCCGCCGCCUCCUAAUCCUACCUCCACAGUUGAGAAGUGCAGGUUUUUGGUACCUGAGAUCAGAGCUGCACUGCUGAACUUGGUAUAGCGAUGCCGGAGGGAUAGUUAAGGAGGCUGACCACAUCUUCAUAAGCACUGAUUGGAGGAUCCUUCAGAACUGCACUGUUUACUGGAGUGCUGAGUUCUUUGCAACUGACCUUAGGCUUGUUGUUGCAACACUCAAGCUUCAUGUCAUUUCAAAAAGAAUCUCAAGAUGCAUCAAUACUGUGUUCCAUCUCGAGAGGCUGAAGGGCCUGGCAUCUCAGGAGUAUGCAGUGACAGUCUCAAAUUGGUUCAAUGUGCUCAGCACCCUGGAGGACCCUGUAGAACUGUGGGACACCUUCAAACGUGAGACCCUUUGAGCUGCCAAGGAGUGCAUGUCCUACCCGGCUCUUUUACAACCAAAAUCCUAUUAAUAUCCCCCUUAUUUUAAAGCCCUUCAUCAAUUUAUAAACUUCAAUCAUCUCCUCGUAGCCUCAUUGGGAAUUGGAACCAAUGCAGGGCUGUCACAAAGGGCUACAAGGAGAGGCAUGUCAGGGUCUGGCUGAGGAUAGUGAGUGCCAUGUCAAUACGAAUGACCUGCGACCUGCUGUCUGAGCUCUGAGGAAGCUUUGCUCUGAGCCUCUAUCGGGUGAACGCUUUCCAAACAGCAGACGGCCGAGGGCUCAUUGGGCUGAGUACUUUGCUUCAAAACCCAUUGCCUCCUGUUGCUCCUGCCCACCACCUUCACCUCCACUCACUAGAUAAGUUUUCCUUCACCACUUAGAGCCAGUCCACACAUGCCAGCUGUGCCACAUUCUUAAGGUAAUAAUAAGGAUCUUAUUCAAGUUAUUACAAACUUUAAAAUAUUCAUCACACAUUUUGUUUAUUAGUGAAUAGUGUGUAUUAUUCCUGAGUUGAUGUGUGUGUUUACACUGUACACUUGUUACUUCAUGUUCACAUGCACACAUCCUACACUACUGUACAGUGCUGUGGUAAAUAAUCUUAUACAGCCUUGUGUUCUCUUUGCUCCAGGGAGCAGCAGCAGCGCUCCAGUGUGGCGGAAGAGACUAAAGAGCACGUUGUGGCAUUGCUCCAAGCUCUCCCGCACCAAGAGAUGUCACCCAUUAACAACUCAACCCACAGGAGAGAGAGAGAGAGAGAGACCCUUGUGCUGGGCCCACUAUCAAUCCCCACGCUACCACCUCGGAUUUUUCAGUCACCGCUGAGUGGCUUAAAAGAGAGAGAGAGAGAGAGAGAGAGAGAGAGAGAGAGAGAGAGAGGGAGGGUCUUUAAUGUGUCUGGGGGGUUUGUCAACAACCUGUGGGGUCACAUCCUGGGAGUCCUGUAAUAUAUAUAUAUAUUUUUUUUUAGGGGAGGCGGUGGCUGAAUGGAUAGCGAGACGGCCCCGCGUUCAGGAGGACGCGAGUUCAAUCCCUUACCAGUGCCACCAAGUUGGGAUUUUUCAGCUGCCGCCGAGUGGCUUAAAACUACCCACAUGCUGUCCAGAAGACCACCUAUCAACCUGGACCCUAGAUUCUAGGAUUAAAGAUGAGCUCCGGGAGGGCAGCAUGACCCAAUGCAAGAUGGCGCCAGAACGGGCUGGGCCGACCAUCAGGCCUCACUGGGAAGAAGCCUUGGACCCGGCACUGCAGCCUCUUGUGGCCAGGAAGGGGAGGUGGCCACACACACUGGCAGCAGACAGCCAGGUGUGUAAUCCAUCCAGGGAGACACACUCAGAGUCUAUGUACAGCAGAGAAACUAUGAACACGUCUUACUGGGAAGGUCACACGCCUGGCUGCCAGUGUGGGUGUGGUCCCCUCCCUUCCUGGCACGAGGGCCACGGUGCCGGGCUGUGUGGCAGGCGUGGCCCAUCGGUGGUCCAGUGGUGUGGUGCCCGCCAUCACCUUGAAUGCUUGGGGUCAAGUCCCUGCCCUCAGUGAUGCACCCUUCAGGAUCCUUCACUGCUGCUAGCUCCUGUGGUCCUUCCUCAUGUGUUGUCUUCUCUACAGGUCAUCCCAGACUCCCGGGCAGUGUCCUCCCUCGAAAGCCCACACACUGGGCUCGGCACCACAGACCCACCAGUCCUGCCCUGGUGACCUGCCUCCCCAGGGCUGGGCAGACACCCCCACCAGGAGGUGCAGGACAGCCGGGGUGUUCCAGGAGGGGUGGCAGCUGCUUGCCCCGCAGGGAGGUGCAGGACAGCCGGGGUGUUCCAGGAGGGGUGGCAGCUGCUUGCCCCGCAGGGAGGUGCAGGACAGCCGGGGUGUUCCAGGAGGGGUGGCAGCUGCUUGCCCCGCCAGGAGGUGCAGGACAGCCGGGGUGUUCCAGGAGGGGUGGCAGCUGCUUGCCCCGCAGGGAGGUGCAGGACAGCCGGGGUGUUCCAGGAGGGGUGGCAGCUGCUUGCCCCGCCAGGAGGUGCAGGACAGUCAGGGUGUUCCAGGAGGGGUGGCACCUGCUUGCCCCGCCGGGAGGUGCAGGACAGUCGGGGUGUUCCAGGAGGGGUGGCAGCUGCUUGCCCCGCCGGGAGGUGCAGGACAGCCGGGGUGUUCCAGGAGGGGUGGCAGCUGCUUGCCCCGCAGGGAGGUGCAGGACAGUCGGGGUGUUCCAGGAGGGGUGGCAGCUGCUUGCCCUGCCGGGAGGUGCAGGACAGUCGGGGUGUUCCAGGAGGGGUGGCAGCUGCUUGCCCCGCAGGGAGGUGCAGGACAGUCGGGGUGUUCCAGGAGGGGUGGCAGCUGCUUGCCCCGCCGGGAGGUGCAGGACAGUCGGGGUGUUCCAGGAGGGGUGGCACCUGCUUGCCCUGCCGGGAGGUGCAGGACAGCCGAGGUGUUCCGGCAGCCUCCACUCCCCAGGGACCUUCUCACCUGGCAUGGCUGACCUUCCAGCACCUCCACCUGAAGGAGAAACAUUACAGUUUGUCCCUCACAGAAUAAAGUAUAAUACCA